CUGACCAUAUAGUGCUCCUUUAACCACAACCUCAUGUUUCCUGCUUUAAACUGCCAACUUACCUAUGUCACUUCUUCUACAGAAAUAUUACAGUAAUUUUUGAUUGUAUGUACCUGUACUAAUUUUCAUUGGCUGAUAAUGCUAUUGAUGUAUACACCCCUAGACAAUUGUUCCCUAUAUAAUGUACCACACAAUACACUUU